GACGAACGCUGGCGGUGUGCUUCAUACAUGCAAGUCGAGCGAUAAGGCCCCUUCGGGGGUACAUAAGCGGCGGACGGGUGAGUAAUACGUAGGAAAUCUGCCUUAAGGAGGGGGACAACAUCGGGAAACUGGUGCUAAUACCCCAUAUGAGAUAUCUUGAAAUGGAUAUCUUGAAAGUUCCGGCGCCUUAAGAUGAGCCUGCGGCUGAUUAGCUAGUUGGUGGGGUAAAUGCCUACCAAGGCGACGAUCAGUAGCUGGUCUGAGAGGAUGAUCAGCCACAAUGGGACUGAGACACGGCCCAUACUCCUACGGGAGGCAGCAGUAGGGAAUUUUGCGCAAUGGGCGAAAGCCUGACGCAGCAACACCGCGUGAGCGACGAAGCCCCUUGGGGUGUAAAGCUCUGUCAGUGGGGACGAAGCCUGACGGUACCCACAGAGGAAGCAUCGGCUAACUACGUGCCAGCAGCCGCCGUAACAC
rnacentral:rRNA from 1 species